rnacentral:rRNA from 1 species
UACGUGGGUGGCAAGCGUUAUCCGGAUUUACUGGGCGUAAAGCGCGUUCAGGCGGUUUGGCAAGUCGGGCAUGAAAUCUCUCGGCUCAACCGGGAGAGGUUGUCCGAUACUGCUGGACUUGAGGGCAGUAGAGGGUGGUGGAAUUCCGGGUGUAGUGGUGAAAUGCGUAGAUAUCCGGAGGAACACCAGUGGCGAAAGCGGCCACCUGGACUGCACCUGACGCUGACACGCGAAAGCUAGGGGAGCGAACGGG